GACGAACGCUGGCGGCGUGCUUAACACAUGCAAGUCGAACGGAAAGGCCCUGCUUUUGUGGGGUGCUCGAGUGGCGAACGGGUGAGUAACACGUGAGUAACCUGCCCUUGACUUUGGGAUAACUUCAGGAAACUGGGGCUAAUACCGGAUAGGAGCUCCUGCUGCAUGGUGGGGGUUGGAAAGUUUCGGCGGUUGGGGAUGGACUCGCGGCUUAUCAGCUUGUUGGUGGGGUAGUGGCUUACCAAGGCUUUGACGGGUAGCCGGCCUGAGAGGGUGACCGGCCACAUUGGGACUGAGAUACGGCCCAGACGCCUACGGGAGGCAGCAGUGGGGAAUAGUGCACAAUGGGCGGAGGCCUGAUGCAGCAACGCCGCGUGCGGGAUGACGGCCUUCGGGUUGGAAACCGCUUUCGCCUGUGACGAAGCGUGAGUGACGGUAAUGGGGAAAGAAGCACCGGCUAACUACGU
rnacentral:rRNA from 1 species